rnacentral:rRNA from 1 species
GACGUAGGGCGCGAGCGUUGUCCGGAUUUAUUGGGCGUAAAGAGCUCGUAGGCGGUUCUGUGUGCUGCUGUGAAAACUGGAGGCUCAACCUCCAGCCUGCAGUGGGUACGGGCAGACUAGAGUGCGGUAGGGGAGAUUGGAAUUCCUGGUGUAGCGGUGGAAUGCGCAGAUAUCAGGAGGAACACCGGUGGCGAAGGCGGGUCUCUGGGCCGAUACUGACGCUGAGGAGCGAAAGCAUGGGUAGCGAACAGG